rnacentral:rRNA from 1 species
UGCAAGUCGAGCGGUACAGGGGUAGCUUGCUACCCGCUGACGAGCGGCGGACGGGUGAGUAAUGCAUGGGAAUCUGCCCGAUAGUGGGGGAUAACUCGGGGAAACCCGAGCUAAUACCGCAUACGUCCUACGGGAGAAAGCAGGGGAUCUUCGGACCUUGCGCUAUCGGAUGAGCCCAUGUCGGAUUAGCUUGUUGGUGAGGUAACGGCUCACCAAGGCAACGAUCCGUAGCUGGUCUGAGAGGAUGAUCAGCCACACCGGGACUGAGACACGGCCCGGACUCCUACGGGAGGCAGCAGUGGGGAAUAUUGGACAAUGGGGGAAACCCUGAUCCAGCCAUGCCGCGUGUGUGAAGAAGGCCUUCGGGUUGUAAAGCACUUUCAGUGGGGAAGAAGGCAUGAUGAUUAAUACUCGUCAUGAAGGACAUCACCCACAGAAGAAGCACCGGCUAACUCCGUGCCAGCAGCCGCGGUAAUACGGAGGGUGCAAGCGUUAAUCGGAAUUACUGGGCGUAAAGGGCGCGUAGGCGGCUUGCCAAGCCGGAUGUGAAAGCCCCGGGCUCAACCCGGGAACGGCAUUCGGAACUGGUAGGCUAGAGUGCAGGAGAGGAAGGUGGAAUUCCCGGUGUAGCGGUGAAAUGCGUAGAGAUCGGGAGGAAUACCAGUGGCGAAGGCGGCCUUCUGGACUGACACUGACGCUGAGGCGCGAAAGCGUGGGUAGCAAACAGGAUUAGAUACCCUGGUAGUCCACGCCGUAAACGAUGUCGACCAGCCGUUGGACCCCUUGAGGGUUUGGUGGCGCAGUUAACGCAAUAAGUCGACCGCCUGGGGAGUACGGCCGCAAGGCUAAAACUCAAAUGAAUUGACGGGGGCCCGCACAAGCGGUGGAGCAUGUGGUUUAAUUCGAUGCAACGCGAAGAACCUUACCUGCUCUUGACAUCCUGCGAAUUCCUCAGAGAUGAGGAAGUGCCUUCGGGAGCGCAGAGACAGGUGCUGCAUGGCUGUCGUCAGCUCGUGUUGUGAAAUGUUGGGUUAAGU